AAGGCCAGAGAAUUCCCCUCAUUAGUUACAAUAGUCAAACUAAAGCGAAACUAAGAGCCAACCCCCAAAGUAGGAAUCAUCCCUAGUAGUACCAGAAAACCACUCUUAAGUCAUAAUUCCACCUCGGUCACAAACUGUAAAGUAGGGAUCCAACUCAACACUAUAAGCUUACCUUUGCUCCUCAACUCCCCGCUUUUAGCCUCGCUUUCC
rnacentral:lncRNA from 1 species